rnacentral:rRNA from 1 species
AUGAACCAUGUUUUCCUUUAUGUGCAGUUGGAUGAUGCUUCUUGUAGGAUCUCAAAGGACGGAUGUAUUGGUGGUUGUAUUCUCGUACUUUCUGUAUGGAGCUGGGAGCGCCUGCCAGUCGAACGCCCGAAGGACAUAACGUACAAGGGUUGGGAUGACCAAGGCGACGAACUACGGCUCCCCACCUGGGCUUACAAGUGGGAUGUGGUAACCGAUAUGACUAGUGAUGUCAUUAUGAUGUAUAGGCAGUACACCAACGAGUUGGACACUGUUACGGCUGAGCAGGUAAACAUUGACUUUACAUCACUCAUUCCCAUGCUUUCAUGA